AGAGUUUGAUCAUGGCUCAGAUUGAACGCUGGCGGCAGGCCUAACACAUGCAAGUCGAGCGGUAGCACAGAGAGCUUGCUCUCGGGUGACGAGCGGCGGACGGGUGAGUAAUGUCUGGGAAACUGCCUGAUGGAGGGGGAUAACUACUGGAAACGGUAGCUAAUACCGCAUAAUGUCGCAAGACCAAAGUGGGGGACCUUCGGGCCUCAUGCCAUCAGAUGUGCCCAGAUGGGAUUAGCUAGUAGGUGGGGUAACGGCUCACCUAGGCGACGAUCCCUAGCUGGUCUGAGAGGAUGACCAGCCACACUGGAACUGAGACACGGUCCAGACUCCUACGGGAGGCAGCAGUGGGGAAUAUUGCACAAUGGGCGCAAGCCUGAUGCAGCCAUGCCGCGUGUGUGAAGAAGGCCUUCGGGUUGUAAAGCACUUUCAGCGGGGAGGAAGGCGUUAAGGUUAAUAACCUCGAUUGACGUUACCCGCAGAAGAAGCACCGGCUAACUCCGUGCCAGCAGCCGCGGUAAUACGGAGGGUGCAAGCGUUAAUCGGAAUUACUGGGCGUAAAGCGCACGCAGGCGGUCUGUCAAGUCGGAUGUGAAAUCCCCGGGCUCAACCUGGGAACUGCAUUCGAAACUGGCAGGCUAGAGUCUUGUAGAGGGGGGUAGAAUUCCAGGUGUAGCGGUGAAAUGCGUAGAGAUCUGGAGGAAUACCGGUGGCGAAGGCGGCCCCCUGGACAAAGACUGACGCUCAGGUGCGAAAGCGUGGGGAGCAAACAGGAUUAGAUACCCUGGUAGUCCACGCCGUAAACGAUGUCGAUUUGGAGGUUGUGCCCUUGAGGCGUGGCUUCCGGAGCUAACGCGUUAAAUCGACCGCCUGGGGAGUACGGCCGCAAGGUUAAAACUCAAAUGAAUUGACGGGGGCCCGCACAAGCGGUGGAGCAUGUGGUUUAAUUCGAUGCAACGCGAAGAACCUUACCUGGUCUUGACAUCCACAGAACUUUCCAGAGAUGGAUUGGUGCCUUCGGGAACUGUGAGACAGGUGCUGCAUGGCUGUCGUCAGCUCGUGUUGUGAAAUGUUGGGUUAAGUCCCGCAACGAGCGCAACCCUUAUCCUUUGUUGCCAGCGGUCGGCCGGGAACUCAAAGGAGACUGCCAGUGAUAAACUGGAGGAAGGUGGGGAUGACGUCAAGUCAUCAUGGCCCUUACGACCAGGGCUACACACGUGCUACAAUGGCAUAUACAAAGAGAAGCGACCUCGCGAGAGCAAGCGGACCUCAUAAAGUAUGUCGUAGUCCGGAUUGGAGUCUGCAACUCGACUCCAUGAAGUCGGAAUCGCUAGUAAUCGUAGAUCAGAAUGCUACGGUGAAUACGUUCCCGGGCCUUGUACACACCGCCCGUCACACCAUGGGAGUGGGUUGCAAAAGAAGUAGGUAGCUUAACCUUCGGGAGGGCGCUUACCACUUUGUGAUUCAUGACUGGGGUGAAGUCGUAACAAGGUAACCGUAGGGGAACCUGCGGUUGGAUCACCU
rnacentral:rRNA from 1 species